rnacentral:rRNA from 1 species
AUUGAACGCUUGCGGCAUGCCUUACACAUGCAAGUCGAACGGUAACAGGUCUUCGGAUGCUGACGAGUGGCGAACGGGUGAGUAAUACAUCGGAACGUGCCUAGUAGUGGGGGAUAACUACUCGAAAGAGUGGCUAAUACCGCAUGAGAUCUACGGAUGAAAGCAGGGGAUCGCAAGACCUUGUGCUACUAGAGCGGCCGAUGGCAGAUUAGGUAGUUGGUGGGAUAAAAGCUUACCAAGCCGACGAUCUGUAGCUGGUCUGAGAGGACGAUCAGCCACACUGGGGCUGAGACACGGCCCAGACUCCUACGGGAGGCAGCAGUGGGGAAUUUUGGACAAUGGGCGCAAGCCUGAUCCAGCAAUGCCGCGUGCAGGAUGAAGGCCUUCGGGUUGUAAACUGCUUUUGUACGGAACGAAAAGCCCUGGGUUAAUACCCUGGGGUCAUGACGGUACCGUAAGAAUAAGCACCGGCUAACUACGUGCCAGCCGCCGCGGUAAUAC